AACGAACGCUGGCGGCAUGCCUAACACAUGCAAGUCGAACGAGACCUUCGGGCCUAGUGGCGCACGGGUGCGUAACGCGUGGGAACCUGCCCUUAGGUUCGGAAUAACUCCCCGAAAGGGGUGCUAAUACCGGAUAAUGUCUUCGGACCAAAGAUUUAUCGCCUUUGGAUGGGCCCGCGUUGGAUUAGCUAGUUGGUAGGGUACAAGCCUGCCAAGGCGACGAUCCAUAGCUGGUCUGAGAGGAUGAUCAGCCACACUGGGACUGAGACACGGCCCAGACUCCUACGGGGAGCAGCAGUGGGGAAUAUUGGACGAUGGGCGAAAGCCUGAUCCAGCAAUGCCGCGUGAGUGAUGAAGGCCUUAGGGUUGUAAAGCUCUUUUACCCGGGAUGAUAAUGACAGUACCGGGAGAAUAAGCUCCGGCUAACUCCGUG
rnacentral:rRNA from 1 species